rnacentral:rRNA from 1 species
GAUGAACGCUGGCGGCGUGCCUAAUACAUGCAAGUCGAGCGAACAGACGAGGAGCUUGCUCCUCUGACGUUAGCGGCGGACGGGUGAGUAACACGUGGAUAACCUACCUAUAAGACUGGGAUAACUUCGGGAAACCGGAGCUAAUACCGGAUAAUAUAUUGAACCUCAUGGUUCAAUAGUGAAAGACGGUUUUGCUGUCACUUAUAGAUGUAUCCGCGCCGCAUUAGCUAGUUGGUAAGGUAACGGCUUACCAAGGCAACGAUGCGUAGCCGACCUGAGAGGGUGAUCGGCCACACUGGAACUGAGACACGGUCCAGACUCCUACGGGAGGCAGCAGUAGGGAAUCUUCCGCAAUGGGCGAAAGCCUGACGGAGCAACGCCGCGUGAGUGAUGAAGGUCUUCGGAUCGUAAAACUCUGUUAGUAGGGAAGAACAAAUGUGUAAGUAACUAUGCACGUCUUGACGGUACCUAAUCAGAAAGCCACGGCUAACUACGUG